rnacentral:rRNA from 1 species
AUUGAACGCUGGCGGCAUGCCUUACACAUGCAAGUCGAACGGUAACAGGUCUUCGGAUGCUGACGAGUGGCGAACGGGUGAGUAAUACAUCGGAACGUGCCUAGUAGUGGGGGAUAACUACUCGAAAGAGUGGCUAAUACCGCAUGAGAUCUACGGAUGAAAGCAGGGGAUCGCAAGACCUUGUGCUACUAGAGCGGCCGAUGGCAGAUUAGGUAGUUGGUGGGAUAAAAGCUUACCAAGCCGACGAUCUGUAGCUGGUCUGAGAGGACGAGCAGCCACACUGGGACUGAGACACGGCCCAGACUCCGACGGGAGGCAGCAGUGGGGAAUUUUGGACAAUGGGCGAAAGCCUGAUCCAGCAAUGCCGCGCGCAGGAUGAAGGCCUUCGGGUUGUAAACUGCUUUUGUACGGAACGAAAAGCCCCGGGUUAAUACCCUGGGGUCAUGACGGUACCGUAAGAAUAAGCACCGGCUAACUACGUGCCAGCCGCCGCCGUAA